AUUGAACGCUGGCGGCAUGCCUUACACAUGCAAGUCGAACGGCAGCACGGGAGCAAUCCUGGUGGCGAGUGGCGAACGGGUGAGUAAUAUAUCGGAACGUGCCCAGUCCGUGGGGGAUAACGUAGCGAAAGCUACGCUAAUACCGCAUACGAUCUAUGGAUGAAAGCGGGGGAUCGCAAGACCUCGCGCGAUUGGAGCGGCCGAUAUCAGAUUAGGUAGUUGGUGAGGUAAAGGCUCGCCAAGCCGACGAUCUGUAGCUGGUCUGAGAGGACGACCAGCCACACUGGGACUGAGACAGGCCCAGACUCCUACGGGAGGCAGCAGUGGGGAAUUUUUGGGACAAUGGGCGNAAGCCUGAUCCAGCAAUGCCGCGUGCAGG
rnacentral:rRNA from 1 species